rnacentral:rRNA from 1 species
UACGAAGGGGGCUAGCGUUGUUCGGAAUUACUGGGCGUAAAGGGCGCGUAGGCGGCUCUGAUCGUCGGAUGUGAAAGGCCUGGGCUCAACCUGGGAAUGGCAUCCGAUACGGCGGGGCUGGAGUGUGGGAGAGGUUGGUGGAAUUCCCAGUGUAGAGGUGAAAUUCGUAGAUAUUCGGAAGAACACCAGUGGCGAAGGCGACUUACUGGACACAUAUUGACGCUGAGGUGCGAAAGCGUGGGGAGCAAACAGG